rnacentral:rRNA from 1 species
UCCGGUUAGAGUGAACCAGCAGGAGGGAUCAUUACCGAGUUUACAACUCCCAAACCCCUGUGAACAUACCAUUUGUUGCCUCGGCGGUGCCUGCUUCGGCAGUCCGCCAGAGGACCCAAACCCUUGAUUUUAUACAGUAUCUUCUGAGUAAAUGAUUAAAUAAAUCAAAACCUUCAACAACGGAUCUCUUGGUUCUGGCAUCGAUGAAGAACGCAGCGAAAUGCGAUAAGUAAUGUGAAUUGCAGAAUUCAGUGAAUCAUCGAAUCUUUGAACGCACAUUGCGCCCGCCAGUAUUCUGGCGGGCAUGCCUGUUCGAGCGUCAUUUCAACCCUCAAGCCCCCGGGCUUGGUGUUGGAGAUCGGCGUGCCCUCCGGGGCGCGCCGGCUCCCAAAUAUAGUGGCGGUCUCGCUGUAGCUUCCUCUGCGUAGUAGCACACCUCGCACUGGGAAACAGCGUGGCCACGCCGUUAAACCCCCCACUUUCUGAAAGGUUGACCUCGGAUCAGGUAGGAAUACCCGCUGAACUCAAGAGUCAUAUCUAUAAGCGGGAAAAAA